GUCUAACCAAGGUCGCAAUGCAGGCUGGUAACCCAGCCCUGCACUGAGUAGAAGGUGAUGCAGAGCCAGAUACGUUGGUUUUAAGACUGCAAGGAAUCUCUAUAUUCAUCAGACUGCCCGGCAUGCCAGGGAAAGGAAAGCUCUGGUUUUCCGAUGGUGAGAACAGAAACAUCACACUGGGCCAUGGAGCUGUGUCAGCUUUAUGCUUUUUCGGCCAACAGCUGGAUGAGGGUACCUGGAGGUCUUCAGGCUGACAGAGCUUGGCUGGAGCAUCAGGUUCAGGAGCUGCUGAGCUAGAGCACUUCUCCAGGACAGACAUCCUUCACAACAUUGAAGCUCCAGGACAAGCUGAACAAGCUGAACAUCUCAAUAUGGCUGGACUGAUAUCCCAAGUCAUUCCUCACGUUGGCAACUUUCAUCUCUUUCUACUCAAGCAACCCCUAUAAACUGCCUGGAUUAAAACAAUUAAAUUACGUGCGCAGCGUUUACACAAAUACUGGCACCAUCAUUAAUGGCAGCACUUAGAGAUGCGAGCAGUGUCUGCAUGUGCUCUGUAAUCCAUCAGGGAGAAGAAUCAGAUUUGCCAGCCGGUUUGGUUAAAAUAUUUAAAUGAGAGGUUGCUGCACUUCAAGACAGAAGAAAUAUUGCCAAGGAACGUAUCUGAAAAAUCACAGCUCAUCGUGACACCUCUCAAAGGGCCAUUUAGUCUGAUUUGCAUACCAGAGAUACCCACCCAUGCUGCUGGGUCCCUGCAGCCUGGAUGCUGCCUGACACGCAUUGAGACCUGCCCCAGAGAAAACGAGCUAAAUCCAGGCUGGAAAGGCAAGGCGUGGAAGGAAAGGGUGAAGCCAUGUAGUACAACGGAGCAAGAAACUGUCCAAAUCUUGAAAAUUUGAAUGGCUGUUUUCUAUAGCUGGCUCUGUUCCCUCCUCUGGUUCAGCGAAGCGAUGUCUGGAGCACAGCAGAGGGAUGCAUGAAAGAAAAAAAUGAGCAGCCAGAGGUGGGGCGCAUCCCCCCGUGUGCAUUGGAGGCUGCUGAGAUCGGCAGCCCAUAACCCUCUGCUUGGUGUCCGCAGCAGACCCAGUCCAUCACUAAAGCCACUGUCCCACUGCAGGAUUCAGUGCUGGAGAGGCCCAUGGCAAAGUCAGAGAGAUGAGCUGCCAGGAGAGGCUGGGAGCUGGGAAAAGGAAAACAGCCCUGGGAAGAAUAGCCUUAACAGAAAGAGUCUGUGGUUUGUUGAGGACAAGGUUCAACAGUGGUUUGUUGUGGUCUGUAAUUACCAAGAGAGGAAAAAGGUACCUGAUACUGGGAGAUGCUUUCAUCCAGCAGACAAAAACCAUGAAUCCAAUGGCUGGAGGCUGAAGUUAGCAAAAUUGAAAUGUAGGAUGCAAAUAUCUAAGACCGAAGAUAAUUAACAAGCUCCCCAACGACUGCUGCUCGGCUGUUCCAAGCAGAUCACAGGCAGAGCGGGCAAGCUGCCUGCGUUGGGGUUAGCUGCCUAUCCUGGCUUAGCACUGCGCGGCACGUAGACAGCAAGGCAGAGCCAGCUCCAAAGCCCUGGAAAACUGAGCUGAAGUUUGCCUGGAUAUAAAAAGAUGAUGGAAGGUCCUAACCUGCUUAUUGUCCAUCACACACUGCCCCACAAACUUCAUACUCGUACUUUAGCACUACAGUAGGAGCCACUUGGACUCAAAGCAUUUUAUUCUUGCAGAAUGUCCCUGGGUAGCACCAGCCCAUGGGACACAAAGAAAAUUAAAGAUGCUGAGUACCCCCCCAGCCAUGCCACACACGGUGAUUUUAAUGAGUAGUCUGUUGCUAAUGCCUUCGCUGUUUUGUGGGUUGUGACGUGUCGUGGGAUGUGUCACGAUGCUGAUGUGUUAUGGGGGGUUUAAGUGCCUACUGUGAUGACUUUCCUUCAGCUCCUGCGUUGUAGGGACUGCAAAUCUGCAUGGGGCAUAUCAUGCCUGAUUAAUUUUAUGGACUGUAGAGGGUCAAGGUAGAUUUCUUUUCCAAAUAAAAUACCAGUUUAAGAAUAACUCCAUGUGCUUGCUAGCUUGGGGACACAGGGUGCCAUUUUAUUGGCUCGUGUAGAUUGCUCGCUGGCUGUUUUUAUUCUUUAA